UACGUAGGGUGCGAGCGUUAAUCGGAAUUACUGGGCGUAAAGCGUGCGCAGGCGGUUUGUUAAGUCUGAUGUGAAAGCCCCGGGCUCAACCUGGGAACUGCAUUGGAAACUGGCAAGCUCGAGUAUGGCAGAGGGGGGUGGAAUUCCGCGUGUAGCAGUGAAAUGCGUAGAUAUUGGGAGGAACACCGGUGGCGAAGGCGGCCCCCUGGACCGGUACUGACGCUGAGGCGCGAAAGCGUGGGUAGCAAACGGG
rnacentral:rRNA from 1 species